CGACAUCGCGCAAUUUAUGGUUAUUGUCGUUGUUUUAAUCGCGUACUAGAUUGUAUCAACUAAUUUCAUGUGGAAGCAGAUUUAUUUUGGCGAACCAUAGUCUCCUUAAAACACUCGCUGGAACGUGUACAUUAAUUUAUUUUUAUGUUUAUAUUUAUAUCUUCAAUCUAUAUAUAUAUACACACAAUAUUUAACUGCAACCUUCUCUUGCUUUGUCAUCUUAUAUGCCAAAGAGUUUAUUAUUAUUUUUCGUUUAAAUAAAUGGAUAAAUGAAUAAAUAAUUGGAGAGCUGCUGUUACAUGAACUCCAAUUAUAUAAACUGUCUGUCUUCCAAACAAGUUCAGAUAAGUAGAUUUCUAUCAUAUAUUAUGUAUGUAUGUAUGUUAAUGAUUCGUUCGUACCAAUCAUUAUAUUGUGUUUGUAAUGACUGUAAAAAGUACUUGCACGGAAUUGUAUUUAUUAUACACAGCAGUACAUACCAACUAACUGGGUUCAGAAAUGGAAUGUAGAAGCCGAUAAAAAGACAGCUUCAUUGGAAAAUGAGGGUAUGCGCAAAUAUUUUCACAGCCACUGUAUAUACGAAAAACGUAUUGUCGAUGAAAUUAUCGAAAUGCAAUAAAACAUUGUAUUUUUAAUUAAAUUCAUAGGUACUAAUUAAUUCAUACGUGAUAUCACACUUAAUACGAAACGUCGCAAUAUCUCGGCAAGUAACCGACAAAAUCGAUCCGCAAGAGCAAAAGACUUCACUUGGGAAACUAUCGUUGACAAUGCGGCUGAUCGUUGCGUUAAAGUAGUACAAUUUUUUAAUGC
rnacentral:misc_RNA from 1 species